rnacentral:lncRNA from 1 species
AUUGGUUGCUGAACAAGUGGAAAGAUUUGGUGGACCUGAUAUCUGAUCUGAGUGUUGAGUGGAAGGAUUUGGCGGACCUGAACAAGUGGAAGGAUUUGGUGGACCUGAUAUCUGAUAUGAGUGUUGAGUGGAAGGAUUUGGUGGACCUGAUAUCUGAUCUGAGUGUUGAGUUCCACUUUUAGUUGUAAAACACUCUUAAAACACUGUGAUGUAUUGGGAACUCCACUUGCUAUUGUUUGAUGUCGAAAUAAUCUUAAUACAAUUUGAUGUCAUAUAAAUCAAUAUUGAUAUUUUAGGUCCUUUCUUUGCCUUAUUGUUCAAUUGAGUUUGUUUUUCCAUUG